UAUACAUUUUAAUAUACUAUUUUCAUAAAUUCUUUGAGAAUUUCAUACAUGCGUCUGAUGUAUUUUGAUCAUAUUCACCCCACUCUUCCUCCUACCUCUUCAACCUUACUACCCUCUCCCAAUUUUAUGUUUUCUUUUCAAGAAAAAUAACCUACCAAACCCAAUUUGUGCCACCCAUAUACUCGAGGGUCUGGUGUCACCCACUGGAGCAUGGUCUACCUACCAGAGGCCGCAUCCUCAGACCAAAUGAUGGUGUUUCCCUGCCAGAAGCCACCUGCUGUCAGUAGCACCUCUGUAGGUAUGAAAAGGAUUUUCAUGGUGACUAUACCAGUUUGCAGUACCACCAGCAGCGAAUAAGUGCCCCCUUCACCCGGAUCCUCAUCAAGAUAUGCUGUCACCUGUCUUUGGACCUUAGUAAUUCUGGCCAGGAUCCCUGAGCCGUAAGGAAAAGACUCUGACACAUCCCAUCAGGGCCAAGUGUGCCAAAGUCUCUCACUCUCUGCACACUGUCCAGUUGUGGAUGUCGUUAUUAAUUACCAUCUAGUGAGAGAAGAAGAUUCUUUGAUGAGGGUUGAGAGUGAGAAAGAAGAAGAAACUACGAACAAAUAAAUAUUAACAAAUACUGGUGAGGAUGUGAAGGCUGGGGAGAAGGAAACCAUAUACACAGAUGUUGGGCAUACAAGUGAGUAUAGCUUCUGUGGAAGUCAGCAGGGAGAAUGCUUAAAAAUUAAAACUAGAAUUACUAUAAGAUCCAACUAUGUCCUCACUGGGCACUUACCAAAAAGAAUAAAAUUCAGUUUACUAUGGAGAUACCUGCACAUCCAUAUUAAUCACUGUACUAUUCACAGUAGCCAAACUAUGGGAUCAACCCAGGUGCUCAUUAAUGAAUGAAUGGAAAAUGUAAUAAAUAUACACAACAGAGUAUGUUACAAAGAAGAAUAAAAUCAUGUCAUUUACACAAAAAUGG